rnacentral:rRNA from 1 species
GACGAACGCUGGCGGCGUGCUUAACACAUGCAAGUCGAACGGAAAGGCCCUGCUUUUGUGGGGUGCUCGAGUGGCGAACGGGUGAGUAACACGUGAGUAACCUGCCCUUGACUUUGGGAUAACUUCAGGAAACUGGGGCUAAUACCGGAUAGGAGCUCCUGCUGCAUGGUGGGGGUUGGAAAGUUUCGGCGGUUGGGGAUGGACUCGCGGCUUAUCAGCUUGUUGGUGGGGUAGUGGCUUACCAAGGCUUUGACGGGUAGCCGGCCUGGGAGGGUGACCGGGCCCAGUGGGCUCGGGGAGCGACCCGGGCUCAAUCGGGGGGCAGGGGGGGGGAAUUGUGCCAACGGGGCCGAGGCCUGGACGAGGACCCCCGGGUGGGGGACGGCGGCUUUUGGGUUGGAAACCCUUUUCGCUUGUACCGAGGGGGGAGGACGGUAAAGGGGUAAAAAGCACCGGCUAACUACGGG